AAUCUUCCACAAUGGGCGAAAGCCUGAUGGAGCAACGCCGCGUGAGUGAAGAAGGUUUNCGGAUCNUNAAACUCUGUUGUAAGGGNCGAACAAGUACAGUAGUACCUUGCUGUACCUUGACGGUACCUUAUUAGAAAGCCACGGCUAACUACGUGCCAGCAGCCGCGGUAAUACGUAGGUUGCAAGCGUUCGCCGGAAUUAUUGGCGGAAAGCGAGCGAAGGCGGUCCGUUAAGUCUGAUGGGAAAGACCAAGGCGCAACCGAGGAAGGUCAGUGGAAACUGGGGGACUUGAGUGCAGAAGAGGAAAGUGGAAUUCCAAGUGUGGCGGUGAAAUGCGUAGAGAUUUGGAGGAACACAAGUGGCGAAGGCGACUUUCUGGUCUGUAACUGACGCUGAGGCGCGAAAGCGUGGGGAGCAAACAGG
rnacentral:rRNA from 1 species